UACGUAGGGGGCAAGCGUUGUCCGGAUUUAUUGGGCGUAAAGAGCGUGUAGGCGGUUAUGUAGGUCCGUUGUGAAAACUCGAGGCUCAACCUCGAGACGCCGAUGGAAACCAUCUAACUAGAGUCCGGAAGAGGAGAGUGGAAUUCCUGGUGUAGCGGUGAAAUGCGCAGAUAUCAGGAAGAACACCCGUGGCUAAGGCGGCUCUCUAGUACGGUACUGACGCUGAGACGCGAAAGCGUGGGGAGCGAACAGG
rnacentral:rRNA from 1 species